GCCAGCGUAGCUCAAUUGGCAGAGCUCUUGAUUUGUAAUCAAGAGGUUGUGGGUUCGAGUCCCACCGCUGGCUCCA
rnacentral:tRNA from 1 species